AUGAAAGAACUGAUGUCAGACCUUGGCUUCCAAUAUACAAAAUUCGCGCCAAAACAACUGUUUGAGAAGCUACAAAUAUUGUUGGAAAUAUAUGACAAUCAGUCAAACAGGAAAUCAGUUAAAAUAUUUUUCCUUAUUUUUUUCCACAAUGUUGUCUGCGGGUUAAGCGCCGCUAUCUUCGCCCGACAAGCUAUAAUGGUCAAGGACUUGGACUAUCCAGAAAUGGCAAAGAUGGAUUUCUGUGAGGUAAUCGUCGAAAGUAUCAGGGAAGGAGCCAAGACAUGGCAGAAGCACAAGAUGUUGCCUCGGGAAGAAAAGAACAAAAAGCAUAUCAAUGGUUUGGCACAGGGACCAGUAAUCAUGUACCUUGACUCCCUGCUGCUGCCAACCGACACAAAAGAAAUGCGGAAGAUUGCAAAGACAAUAGACAAGACCUCAUUACCACGAGCAAACCAUCUCAAAGAGAGUGACCUAGCGAAAAUAGCUAGAGCAGACAUGAAAACGGACGGAAAAGCACGACCAGAUGACUAUGAAUUUGGCAAGAUACAGAUAGCAGGAGAACAUCGUAAAGAACAGCAACACCAGCACACAACCAAACUGUUACCACCUCCACCCAAACGCCGACGCGAACCACGUAUCGGCACCAGUGGAAGCACGAAACCAAACAAAAGCAUAAGCACAGGAUCAAAAGAAAGAUUCCAAAGGAUAAACAAAUUGUUGGAAAAAGUGCUCGAUGAAGCAGAACAGUUACCCGCAGUAACCACCAGGGCUAAACACCGGUGCAGCGAAAAAGAAGAGAUAUUGGAUGAAAAAAACAAGGACAAAGUCGUGCAACAAACAAUUGCCCUGAUGGAUUCUGUAGAACAACUCAGACAAUUUCAGGACAUAGUUUGCACAAGGUACCUCACAGACAACGCGACCCUGCAAACACUAGAGCAAGCAGAUCCAGCAGCAUCAAGUAGACUAGCCGAUACCAACCGCACGAAUGAAAUCGUAGCCACAACAGAACAGAGAGAAAGGAGAAAAAGAAAGAAAGAAGAAGAGGAUGAAGAGAGGAAGAGAAGAACAAAAUCAAGGGACGAUGAACUCCAACAGCACGAUAGUGUCAACAACCCCCAAAACAAGAAUGAAUGCAACAAACAAAGCAACCUCACAACAAACAGUGCUACAACAACAAUUACCCCAACACAAGCACAAGAUACGAUCGACGUUAGAACCAGUGAAGAGGUUCAGCUGGAGAAUAAUCAAGUCAGCAGUCCCGUCAACCAAAUGCAAGAGCCUGACCCACAAUCAACCACUAGCAUAACAAACGAUAAAGAAGAAGAAAACAUUGAAGAGAAGUGGACCACAAACUCAUAUUGUUUGAACUCCAGGUAUCACAAUCACUGCAAGACCAAGAGACGUCCCCAACAGACGAAGGAGUCACAGAACAGGAAGUUUGUGCACAAGUGA
rnacentral:rRNA from 1 species